ACUUGACCUCAAAUCAGGUAGGAUUACCCGCUGAACUUAAGCAUAUCAAUA
rnacentral:rRNA from 1 species